rnacentral:lncRNA from 1 species
GUGAGUUCCCAGAGAGCAGGGCUCCACAUGUGUGCAGCCUGGGCAGAGAGAUCCUAAGUGGGUAGGUGCAUCCCUUGCCAGAGCUUGGAACAGACUUAU